rnacentral:rRNA from 1 species
UGCCAGACUCCUACGGGAGGCAGCAGUGGGGAAUAUUGCACAAUGGGGGAAACCCUGAUGCAGCGACGCCGCGUGAGUGAAGAAGUAUUUCGGUAUGUAAAGCUCUAUCAGCAGGGAAGAAAAAAGACGGUACCUGACUAAGAAGCCCCGGCUAACUACGUGCCAGCAGCCGCGGUAAUACGUAGGGGGCAAGCGUUAUCCGGAUUUACUGGGUGUAAGGGGAGCGUAGACGGCAGUGCAAGUCCGGAGUGAAAGCCCGGGGCUCAACCCUGGGACUGCUCUGGAAACUGUAAAGCUGGAGUGCGGGAGGGGCAGGCGGAAUUCCUGGUGUAGCGGUGAAAUGCGUAGAUAUCAGGAGGAACACCGGCGGCGAAGGCGGCCUGCUGGACCGUAACUGACGUUGAGGCUCGAAAGCGUGGGGAGCAAACAGGAUUAGAUACCCCAGUA